GUUUCCGGUUCCGGUGUCAGCGGCGGUUGAAUUGCCAUGGCAAUGCGGUGGGCGCGCGCUUGUCGUGUUGGUCUCUUGGGAGGUAGCGGGGCUAGGCCGGGCGGGUAUCCGCCUCUCCCAGCUUAGGUGAGCGUCCCCGGGCGCCUCCGGAGCGCCGCGGCCGCAUGCAGUUCGUCGUGGCGGGGAGCCGGAGCCUGACCGGGGUUCCAGCGCUCGGGCCGUAGCCUUGGCUCCUGGACUUUCCCUGGCUCCGCCGCCACGUGGGAGCUGAGGCUCUGGGGCUUCCGCCUCCGGCGCGCGAUUAUUUCUCUAGAACAGUUUUCAUUUUUAAAAUUUGUAAAGCGCUUUUGCCUGUGUGAUUUCCUCUGGGUUUUUUUUUUUUUUCUUCCUUUUUGUAGAGACGGAAUUGGCGGCGGGGGCGGGGGGUCGAUGUCUCACUUUUUUGCCCAGGCUGGUCUCGAACUCCUGGCUUCAAGGGAUCCUCCUGCCUCGGCCUCUUAAAGUGCUGGGAUUACAGGCGUGAGCCACCGCCCCCGGCCGCCUCUGAGUUUCCAGCCUCGUUGGCCCUCCAGCCUUUUAACCUGUUGGGCCUAGGAUCAGGAAAGGUUUGUUGAAUGGGGAACUAAGAAGUGAAUUCGUUCGUUCGACAAACGUUUCCUGAGCAGCCGCUGGGUGCUAGGCGCAGUGCCAGCGCGGAAUGUCCAGGGAGACCUGGUGCCCAAAGCUUGGACCCAUCGUGAGAAAUGAGAAGCAGAUACAAAGCAGUGUGGGAGUGCAGAGGAGACAAAGCAAGCCUCAUCAGGCCCAUUGCUUGCUCUGCUCUCCCUUGUACUUACCAGUGCUUGACAAUAUACAGUUAUUUACUAGCUUGGUUAUUGACUUCCUACCCAGCACUCAGUUUUAUUCACUGCUGUAUCCUCAGUGCCUAGGACGAUGCUUGGAACGUGAUUCAUUGAUUCCAGGUAAAUCAGAGGAACAAGCAACAUGAACAGAAAUAUGUAGAAAAAGCUAUUAUGCAGAAGCAUAAUUGUUGUUUCAGAAGUCCAGCAUCUGGUGCACUUAACAAUAGAGAAUAUAUUAAACUCUUUCCAAAAUAACCUGUUGUUCCUACCUGUGUUGUAAGUGUUUUGUUUGUUUUUAAGUAAAUAUUGGUGAUUUGUUGCCAAAAACCUAAACUGUUUGUUGCUGUCAACUUAAAUAACGAACAGAGAGAGGCUCUCUAAAAGAAAAUGGCAUUUAUUCAGGAAUAGAGCACUGCAAUGAGAAAAUGCAUGCGAUAGUUAACUGUGUGUAUCCUGGGAGAUAGAGGAAGACAAAGGUCUUUAAAGGAAAAAUGAGGAGGGUUACAUAAUUGUUUUGAGAUAAUUAUUUUUGA
rnacentral:lncRNA from 10 species